rnacentral:rRNA from 1 species
AUAGGUCAAGCUACAAAGGGCGCAUGGUGAAUGCCUUGGCAUCAAGAGCCGAAGAAGGACGUGACAAGCUGCGAUAAGCAUUGGGUAGGCGCAAAUAGCCUGUGAUCCAAAGAUCUCCGAAUGAGGAAACUCACGUAGGUAACCCUACGUAUACUAUAGUGAAUACAUAGCUAUAGGAGGGUAAACCUAGGGAACUGAAACAUCUAAGUACCUAGAGGAAGAGAAAGAAAAAUCGAUUCCGUCAGUAGCGGCGAGCGAAAUCGGAAGAGCCCAAACCAAAGAUUUAUCUUUGGGGUUGCG